CACGGCUCAACCGUGGAGGGUCAUUGGAAACUGGAAAACUUGAGUGCAGAAGAGGAAAGGGGAAUUCCAUGUGUAGCGGUGAAAUGCGCAGAGAUAUGGAGGAACACCAGUGGCGAAGGCGACUUUCUGGUCUGUAACUGACGCUGAUGUGCGAAAGCGUGGGGAUCAAACAGGAUUAGAUACCCUGGUAGUCCACGCCGUAAACGAUGAGUGCUAAGUGUUAGGGGG
rnacentral:rRNA from 1 species